rnacentral:rRNA from 1 species
AAACGGGUGCUAAUGCCGGAUAGGCAACUGGUAGGCAUCUACCGGUUGGGAAAGGUGCAACUGCACCGCAGAUGGAGGAGCCCGCGGCGCAUUAGCUAGUUGGUGGGGUAACGGCCCACCAAGGCGACGAUGCGUAGCCGACCUGAGAGGGUGACCGGCCACACUGGGACUGAGACACGGCCCAGACUCCUACGGGAGGCAGCAGUAGGGAAUCUUCGGCAAUGGGCGAAAGCCUGACCGAGCAACGCCGCGUGAGCGAAGAAGGCCUUCGGGUUGUAAAGCUCAGUCACCCGGGAAGAGCGGGCAGGAGAGGGAAUGCUCCUGUCGAGACGGUACCGGGAGAGGAAGCCCCGGCUAACUACGUG